GACGAACGCUGGCGGCGUGCUUAACACAUGCAAGUCGAACGAUGAAGCCUAGCUUGCUAGGUGGAUUGGUGGCGAACGGGUGAGUAAUACGUGAGUGACCUACCUUUGACUCUGGGAUAAGCCUGGGAAACUGGGUCUAAUACCGGAUACGACCAAUCUCCGCAUGGGGUGUUGGUGGAAAGCGUUAUGGAGUGGUUUUAGAUGGGCUCACGGCCUAUCAGCUUGUUGGUGAGGUAAUGGCUUACCAAGGCGACGACGGGUAGCCGGCCUGAGAGGGUGACCGGCCACACUGGGACUGAGACACGGCCCAGACUCCUACGGGAGGCAGCAGUGGGGAAUAUUGCACAAUGGGCGCAAGCCUGAUGCAGCGACGCCGCGUGAGGGAUGACGGCCUUCGGGUUGUAAACCUCUGUUAGCAUCGAAGAAGCGAAAGUGACGGUAGGUGCAGAGAAAGCGCCGGCUAACUACGUG
rnacentral:rRNA from 1 species